GUAGGGGGCAAGCGUUGUCCGGAUUCAUUGGGCGUAAAGCGCGUGUAGGCGGUUCAAUAGGUCCGAUGUGAAAACUCGAGGCUCAACUUCGAGAGGCCAUCGGAAACCAUUGGACUAGAGUCCGGAAGAGGAGAGUGGAAUUCCUGGUGUAGCGGUGAAAUGCGCAGAUAUCAGGAGGAACACCGAUGGCGAAGGCAGCUCUCUGGGACGGUACUGACGCUGAGACGCGAAAGCGUGGGGGAGCGAACAGGAUUAGAUACCCUGGUAGUCCACGCCGUAAACGAUGGGCACUAGGUGUGGGUGGUGUCGACUCCAUCCGUGCCGCAGCUAACGCAUUAAGUGCCCCCCGCCUGGGAGUACGGCCGCAAGGCUA
rnacentral:rRNA from 1 species